rnacentral:rRNA from 1 species
AGCAGCCGCGGUAAUUCCAGCUCCAAUAGCGUAUAUUAAAGUUGUUGCAGUUAAAAAGCUCGUAGUUGAACUUCGGGGUUUACCCAUUGGUCAGGCUUAAUUGUCUGUACUGGUGAGAUAAAUCUCUACCUUCUGAGGAACUUUCAUGUCAUUAAUUUGGUGUGAUUGGAAAUCAGGACUGUUACUUUGAAAAAUUAGAGUGUUUAAAGCAGGCUAACGUCUGAAUACAUUAGCAUGGAAUAAUGAAAUAGGACGGACUGAUUCUAUUUCGUUGGUUUCUAGGAUCACCGUAAUGAUUAAUAGGGAUAGUUGGGGGCAUUAGUAUUCAAUUGUCAGAGGUGAAAUUCUUGGAUUUAUUGAAGACUAACUACUGCGAAAGCAUUUGCCAAGGAUGUUUUCAUUAAUCAAGAACGAAAGUUAGGGGAUCGAAGACGAUCAGAUACCGUCGUAGUCUUAACCAUAAACUAUGCCGACUAGGGAUCGGACGAAGUUAAUUUAUAAUGACGCGUUCGGCACCUUA